ensembl:snoRNA LOC120099017 small nucleolar RNA SNORA17
CCUGCCCCUAGAGGCAUUGCAGGUGUGGCUGCUGUAUCACACGCGUGUCAGUAAGUGGCAGAGAGGAGAGAGGCUAUGUCUACACCCAGCGUUCUGCUCUGUAAACAUCAUUAGUAGCCUAACAUU